rnacentral:tRNA from 1 species
GAGGGUAUAGCUCAGUGGAAGAGUGUGUGCCUAGCAUACACAGGGUCCUGGGUUCAAUCCCCAGUACCUCCU